rnacentral:lncRNA from 1 species
UUUUUUUUUUUUUUUUUUUUUUUUGCGCAUGCUCUGAUCAUCAAUAAAUCAAACUCCAAUGGAAAAAUAUAAGGAAUGAACAAACUCUCUCUGACCACUGAUGGAUACAUGAACCCCAACCCCUGAGAUAACCUCUCAAACUAAAAUCUCCGAAUCAAUGUCAAAUGAUGGAAUGAAUAGAGUGAUAUGACAGCCCUCCUUGCACUAAGACGUGAAGAAUCAUCAACCCAAGGAAGAGAAUAGAUAAGAUGAAGCAAAUAAUGAUAGGGACAAGAAAGAGAAUGAAUAUGUAGUGAUAAUAAAAUAGAACAAAUAGGGUGAUAAGAGGAUGGUAACAAAAUGAGAAGAUAGACCUAUAAGUCUAAAGCUCAUGAGACUUUCCUAGCAAAGCAUACAUAUACAUCAAAGGGCCCCAACCCGGG